rnacentral:tRNA from 1 species
CCGGGUGUGGGGCAGUUUGGUCAGCCCGCCUGCUUUGGGAGCAGGAGUAUCGCAGGUUCAAAUCCUGCCGCCUGGAC